UUAAUUGAUUUAAAAAAUUAUUGUUAAUAAUUUAUUGAUUUAAUAAAAAUCCAAUUAAA
rnacentral:tRNA from 1 species